GGAUGAUUACCCAAGCCUGGUUGAAGGGAUCGGUCUUGAAAACCGAAAGGUGCAGAAAUGUGCGCGGGGGUUCGAAUCCCUCAUCAUCCGCCA
rnacentral:tRNA from 3 species